rnacentral:rRNA from 1 species
UACGUAGGGGGCAAGCGUUGUCCGGAUUUAUUGGGCGUAAAGAGCGUGUAGGCGGUUUGGUAGGUCCGCUGUGAAAACUCGGGGCUCAACCUCGAGACGCCGGUGGAAACCAUCAGGCUAGAGUCCGGAAGAGGAGAGUGGAAUUCCUGGUGUAGCGGUGAAAUGCGCAGAUAUCAGGAAGAACACCCGUGGCUAAGGCGGCUCUCUAGUACGGUACUGACGCUGAGACGCGAAAGCGUGGGGAGCGAACAGG